rnacentral:lncRNA from 1 species
GGAAGAAGCAGUGGUGCUGGAGAGCAAGCUUGCUGCCAGGUUUCCUGCAGGGCUCUGUGCUCUGCAGGGACCAACGGGCAGCCGUGGCCCUCUGUUUCAUUGACUUGAUACCUGAUGUUCUUUAUACACGUGUAACAGCUCGGGGUCAUUCCAGCUGGUGGAGAAAUAGGCUGAGGAGAACAGCCAAAAUCAACAGAGGAGCGUGACUGAACAACACGGGCCAUCCCUGAUGUCCUCAGUCUUCUGACAGAACAACAGCCGGAGGAGCAAACAGGAGCAGCCACCAGCAGGAGCUCACUGGUGGCACCUGCAGCCCACGGACACCACGGCAGUCACCUCUGCAACGCCCCCACUUACUGCCACGGACACGAAGGGCUGCAGCAGCACACAAGGUAUGCUCUGCGUGCAAACUGUGCUGCGUGGGGGGCAGGCAGGGGAGGGGACUGCUC